CUGAUUUACAAUGUUACAUUAAUUUCUGGUAUACAGCAAAGUGAUUCAGUUAUACAUAUAUAUUCUUUUAAAUAUUCUUUUCCAUUUUGGUUUAUUACAGGAUAUUGAAUAUAGUUCCCUGUGCUAUAAAACAGGACCUGUCAUCUCUGCCCAAAGGGGUACAACUCUGUUGCUCCAGAACUUCCCACUGUGUUAGCUGAGGCUUUUUUGGGUCUAUAUUACGGUUCAGAUUCCCCUUGUGCCCAAUCUGGCUUCAUCCCGUUUCUACAUCUCUAAUAAACAUCUUGCACCCCAAACUCCACUUUAGAAUUUGCUGGAGGGUCACUGUCUACCCAUCAUGGGCCUCCUCUCUUAACAGAAGAAUUUUGCUUAGUAUUAAGGAUCAUUUCCCUCUGAGCCUUACCUGGACCCCUAACUUAUGCUUAAACAUUGAAACAUAUUUACCUAAUGCCUUGUCUGUUAUCAUUUGAAGAAGUCUACAGCCAUGAACUUAUAUCCUUCUUUCAUAUACGUAUUUGAAUACAAAUAGCAUCCUGAUAUACCCACUGUUGCUCUUGCCUGUCCAGCUGCCGUUACCCCUUCUUUUGUAAAGAGUAUUUACAUUUUUCUUCCAAGCCCAACAGAUACUGAUAGAUGAAGAAGCAAGGAACUCAGGUUGAAAUAAGUAAAGAAAGUUUUACCUCAUUCAAAAGGAACAAGUCUACAAGAAGAGAGAUGAGGGUACAGAGUAACCCCAUGCACUAGAGAGUUAUUCAGCUAGUGGAAAUUGAGGAUGGUAGAAUGAUGGACAGCGAAUAGGUUGAGACAAAACAUGAAAAUGUAGAAGUGAUACGGCUGUUCAAAUAUACAGUAAUACUUGCCAGAAGAGGAUGAAAAGAAAGGAUGAAAAGCACCACUUGAUGCUGAUGAUAUAAUGCUAUCAGAUGACCAUGAAAAGUAAAAACUACACAACUUUUUGUCUCCUCUCUCAAAGAGAAGUUUUUUAAUGAAAAAUGUAGUAUAAACGUGAUUCAAAGGUUACUGAAAUCCAAUGUGGAUCUCCAAGUGAUUCAUGUGUACUAAAAUUCGAGAAGCACUGAAGUAUAACAAAUAAGGGAUGGCAAGGCACCCAAAGACUAAUAACAUUAAGAAGUCAUUGGGGACUUCCCCGGUGGCGCAGUGGUUAAGAAUCUGCCUGCCAAUGCAGGGGACAUGGGUUCGAGCCCUGGUCCGGGAAGAUCCCACAUGCCGUGGAGCAGCUAAGCCUGUACACCACAACUACUGAGCCUGCACUCUAGAGCCCGCGAGCCACAACUACUGAUCCCACGUGCCACAACUACUGAAGCCCGCGUGCCUAGAGCCGGUGCUCUGCAACAAGAGAAGCCACCGCAUUGAGAAGCCCACGCAACGCAACGAAGAGGAGCCCCCCUCUUGCCACACUAGAGAAAGUCCGUGUGCAGCAACAAAGACCCAACGCAGCCAAAAAUAAAUAAAUACAUACAUUUAUUAAAGAAAAAAAGGAGUCAUUACCACUCUUAGAACUGAAGGAACAAAGGGAGGAAACUGUGAGAUUGGAACUGGUGAAUAUAUUAAAAACCAUUGAAUUGUACACUUUAAAUUGAUAAACUGUACGGUAUGUGAAUCGUAUUUCAAUAAAACUAUUAAAAAGGAAAAAAACCAAAAAAAUACAUGCAAAAUCUGUAUGCUGAAAUCUCCAAAAUAUUAAAGAAAGCAAGCAGUGGAAAUAAAUGGAGUGAUAUAUCAUGUUUAUGGACUGGAAGAUUCGAUAGUGUUAGGAUGUUAAUUCUCCCUAAUGAUUCUAAAUCCCACUAUGAUUUUUUGGUAUAAAUUUACAAGCUUAUUAUAAAAUGUAUAUGGAGAGGCAAAGGAUUUAGAUUAGCCAAAAUAAUUUUGAAAGAGAAUAAAGUUGGAGAGUUCAUUUUCCCUCAUUUCAAGACCUAUUAGAAAGCUACAGUAAUCAAGGCAAUGUGGUAUUGGCAGAAGGAUAGACACAUUGACCAAUAAACAGAAGAGUUCGGACAAGCACAUAUAUACUUAAGCAAUUUUUGACUGAAGUACAGAGGCAAUUCAGUGGAGAAGGGAUCAUCUUUUCAACAUGUGAAGCUGGAAAAAUUGCAUAUGUGAAAAAAUAAUCUUUCGUCCUUAUCUCACACCAUAUACAAAAAUUAACUCAAAAUAGAUUAUAGACAUAAAUGUAAAAACUAAAACUAUAGACUUCUAGAAGAAAAACAGAUUUGACACAUUUCUUUAUAGACACCAAAAGCACAAUCCAUGAAAGGAAACAAAUCAAUGUUAUACUCCAUCAAAUAAAGAUUUCUGCUCUUUUAAAAAAUUCUAGUAAGAAAAUGAAACGACAAACCUUAGAAAUACAUGUGAAAUAUAUAUCAAGCAUCUAUAAGAAUAAAUAAUAAAAAUAAACCAGUUUAAAAAACAGGCAAAAAAUCACAUAACCAAAGAGGUAUAUAAAUGGCAGAUAAGCAAAUGAAAAGAUUCUCAACACCAUUAGUCACUGGAGAAAUGCAAAUUAAAACUACUUUGAGGUACCACUGCAAAACUACUAGAAUGACUAAAAAGUUAAAAAUUGAAUAUACUUACUGCUGGUAGACAGCAGAACAACUGGAACCUCAUAUAUCACCAUAAUGAAUUUUAGAACAUUUUUAUCACUUAAAAAGAAAUCCCAUACCCCUUAGUUAUUACUUCUGUACCACUUCAUCCCACCUCAGUCCUGAGCAGCUAGCUGUUAUUUUUUUCUGUAUAGAUUUGCCUAUUCUAGACAUAUAAGAUAAAUAGAAUGAUAUAAUAAGUGAUCUUUUGUGGCUGGCUUCUUUCACAUAGCAUAAUGUCUAAAAGAUUCAUCUAUGUUGUACUAUUUAACAGUAUUUAACUCCUCUUUAUGGUCAAACGAUACUCCAUUGAAUGGAUCUACCAUAUUUUAUCUAUUCGUCAGUUGAUGGACAGUGGGAUUAUUUCCACCUUUUGGCUAUUGUGAAUAAGUUUUUGUGUGGACAUACGUUUUAAUUUCUCUUGGGUAUAUACCUAGGAGUGGCGUUGUGGAAUCAUAUGCUGACUCUAUGUUCAACCAUUUGAGAAACUGCCAAACUGUUUUCCAAAGUGGCUGUGCUAGUUGACGUCCCCACCACCAGUGUACGAGGGAUCUAAUUUCUCCACAUCCUUGAUGAAACUUGUUACAUGAUUUUUUUUAAAGAUUAUAGCCACCCUAGUGGAUAUUAAGUGGCAUCUCUUUCUAAUGAUGUCAAGAAUCUUUUCAUGAUCUUUUAUGGCCAUUUGUACAUCUUUUUGGACAAAUGUUUUUUUCAAAUCCUUUAACCAUUAAAAAAUUAUCUUUUAUUAUUAAGUUGAAAGAGUUCUUUAUAUAUUCUAGAUACAAGUCUCUUAUCAGAUAUAUGAUUUGCAAAUAUUUUUUCUUAUUGUGUAGGUUGUCUUUUCACUUUCUUGUGUCCUUGAAGCACAAAAGUUUUAAAUUUUGAUAGUCUUUUGUUGCUUGUGCUUUUGAUGUCACAUCUAAAAAUCUAUUGCCAAAUCCAACGUCAUGAAAACUUAGCUCUAUAUUUUCUUCUAAGAGUUUUAUAUAGUUUUAGCUCUUACAUUUAGAUCUUUGACACAUUUUGAAAUAAUUUUUGUAUGUGGUAGGUGAUAAGGAUUGGAAUUUAUUCUAUUGCAUCUGCCUAGUUUCCCAGUACCAUUUGUGAAAGAGAUUAUUCUUUCCCGCAUUGAAUGGCCUUGUCCAGUUGACCAUAACACUUGAGUUUAUUUCUGUCAAUUCUAUGCCAUUGAUCUUUAUAUCUAUCCUUAUGCCAGUACCACACUGCCUUGAUUACUGUUGCUUUGUAGUAACAUUUGAAAUAUGGAAGUGGGAGUCCAAGUUUUGACUAUUCUGGGUCCCUAAAAGUUUAUAUGAAUUUUAGAAUCAGAUUGGUUUCUACAAGUAAGCCAGCUAGGAUUCUGAUAGGGACUGUGAUAAAUCUGUAGAUCAGUAUGGGGAGUACUGCCAUAUUAACAACGUUAAGUCUUCCUAUCCAUGAACAUGAGAUGUUUUUCCACUUACUUAGACUUUGAAAACUUUCUUCCAGCAAUGUUUUUAAUGGAAGUUUUGUACUUUUGUUAAAUUUAUUCCUUAAUAUUUCAUUCUUUUUGAUGUUAUUGUAACUGAAAUUGUUUUCUUAAUUUCAUUUUUGGAUCGUUUAUUGCAAGUGUGUAGAAAAACAACUGAUUUUUGUGUAAUGAUUUUUUAUCAAUACAACCUUGUUGAAUUCAUAUUAGUUCUAAUGAUUCUUUAGUGGAUUUCAUAGGAUUUUCUAUAUACAAGUUUAUGUGACUAGAGAUAGCUUUACUUUUUCCUCUCCAAUAUGGAUGUUUUAAAAUAUUAGAACAUCUUUAUAUAUUAUGUUGCAGGAGGGGUUCAGGAUCUGUUGUCAGUUAUACUGUUUGAAAUGAAAGUGGUAAUAGCUUCUAACUUAUUCCCUGUCUCUUAUAGUGUUCCUAAUUCAUCAUUUAUCAUUUUUUACUGGAAUCAAGGUGAUGUGUUAGUUAGGGUUGUUUGACUGCAAGUCACAGAAACAAGCAAUAAAAAUUGAUUAUGGAAUGCAUGAACUCUAACAAUUUGUACUGACUUUGGGUCCUUAAUUCAAGAUUCAAACUUAACAGUGUCUGACUGACCACGCUUAGAUCACAUGCUCUCUUGGAUAUACUUUGGUGGUAAG